rnacentral:rRNA from 1 species
UACGUAGGGUGCAAGCGUUGUCCGGAUUUAUUGGGCGUAAAGAGCUCGUAGGCGGUCUGUCGCGUCGGAUGUGAAAACCCAGGGCUCAACCCUGGGCCUGCAUUCGAUACGGGCAGACUAGAGUAUGGCAGGGGAGACUGGAAUUCCUGGUGUAGCGGUGAAAUGCGCAGAUAUCAGGAGGAACACCGGUGGCGAAGGCGGGUCUCUGGGCCAAUACUGACGCUGAGGAGCGAAAGCGUGGGGAGCGAACAGG